UAUGAACCAUAAUAAUGCAGUGGAGGACAAUUUGAUUACCAGUUCAAGUGAAUGGACACAUAUUCAGGUUCAUGAGAUAGAAGUCGCUGAGUUGCACUUGCAGGUAAAGCAUUUGACGGUUGAGAAAACACGUUUUUCACUUUUGAUCACUCUCCAAUCAUGGAACACACAUGGAACAAAACCUCAGAAAAUUUCAAGAUUGUUCCGGGGAAGCCGCGUACUAAAGCAAUAAAUCUAUCUCUCAAAACCGAAAUCCCACGUGUAAUAAUAAUUGAAGAAGAGAAAGAAAACAAGAAAUGCAAGUGUUUUUGGACUUUUCUGUCUUUUCUGAAAGGUCAGAAAGCCUAGUAAUAUCAAUUUCUAAUUCGCUUCAAAGCGAUGAAAAUUAUAGUGUAUGAAACUAUGAAAACAGAAAUAAUAUUUAUUGUUUCGGGAGUAAAA